rnacentral:rRNA from 1 species
AUUGAACGCUGGCGGCAGGCCUAACACAUGCAAGUCGAGCGGAUGAAGGGAGCUUGCUCCUGGAUUCAGCGGCGGACGGGUGAGUAAUGCCUAGGAAUCUGCCUGGUAGUGGGGGAUAACGUCCGGAAACGGGCGCUAAUACCGCAUAAGUCCUGAGGGAGAAAGUGGGGGAUCUUCGGACCUCACGCUAUCAGAUGAGCCUAGGUCGGAUUAGCUAGUUGGUGGGGUAAAGGCCUACCCAGGCGACGAUCCGUAACUGGUCUGAGAGGAUGAUCAGUCACACUGGAACUGAGACACGGUCCAGCCACCUACGGGAGGCAGCAGUGGGGAAUAUUGGACAGUGGGCGAAAGCCUGAUCCAGCCAUGCCGCGUGUGUGAAGAAGGUCUUCGGAUUGUAAAGCACUUUAAGUUGGGAGGAAGGGCAGUAAGUUAAUACCUUGCUGUUUUGACGUUACCAACAGAAUAAGCACCGGCUAACUUCGU